GAUGAAGAACGCAGCGAAAUGCGAUAAGUAAUGUGAAUUGCAGAAUUCCGUGAAUCAUCGAAUCUUUGAACGCACAUUGCGCCCGCCAGUAUUCUGGCGGGCAUGCCUGUCUGAGCGUCAUUUCAACCCUCAUGCCCCUAGGGCGUGGUGUUGGGGAUCGGCCAAAGCCCGCGAGGGACGGCCGGCCCCUAAAUCUAGUGGCGGACCCGUCGUUGCCUCCUCUGCGAAGUAGUGAUAUUCCGCAUCGGAGAGCGAUGAGCCCCUGCCGUUAAACCCCCAACUUUCCAAGGUUGACCUCAGAUCAGGUAGGAAUACCCGCUGAACUUAAGCAUAUCAAUAAGCGGAGGA
rnacentral:misc_RNA from 1 species